GAGAACUACCUCUUCAGACAGCAGGGCUGCCAAGCCUCACGCUUUGAGUGUGACAGUCACGCAAUUUGACCCAUUCUCACACCACACGCCACACUUGCCAUUUCUCACGCUUAUUUCCCCAUUCAUUACUCUAUUUUUUUUUCUCAUGAUAAUAAGCUUUGGUCCUCGCGGCUUCGGGUGGUUAUGUAGUCGCGCGGUGUCCACUUUGCGAUGUAUACGUUUGACAGUUUGUAAACAAUCUCCCGCGACCUGCGCGUGUGAGCAUCGGGGUGGAGCGUCUUGGUGGAGCGUCUUUGUAUAUAGUGCCAGAUUUGACUUCUGGACUGCAUUCUGCAACAUUUUCAAGAAGGGUAAGUAGGCCUACAUCAAUCGCCUUCUUUCAAAUAUACAUUAUACACAGAGAUGUUUCUACUGGUUGUUUUCAUAUUUCAUAACAGCAUUAUGUAUAAAAACGUAAGGUAAUACAUCACAGCUGAUUUUAAAAUAGGGGCCUUUUAGAUAUCAGGACCAUAACUAGUCUGUAAACAUUCAAGCAUCAUGACCAUAACUAGUCUGUAAACAAGCAUCUGGACCAUAACUACAGACUGUAAACAAGCAUCAGGACCAUAACUACAGUCAGUAAACAAGCAUCAGGACCAUAACUAGUCUGUAAACAAGCAUCUGGACCAUAACUACAGACUGUAAACAAGCAUCAGGACCAUAACUACAGUCAGUAAACAUUGUUUACUGACAGCAAUGUUUGACUUUGAGAGAUUUUGGGGGAACAUGGCAUCAAUGAAGAACAAGGUGACCGGUAUGAGCAGAUUUGGCAGGCUGUCUUGCAUUGCCAAGUUGGUCUUGGUCAUGCCUCACUCCAAUGCUGAUGCAGAGCGAGUUUUCUCUGUGGUUGGACUAAAUAAGACCAAGACCCGAAACAGUUUGGCUCUUGAGGGAACUCUGUCAUCCAUCAUGACCGUGAAGAUGGCGAGCCUUGAGCCAGACUGUUUUAAGUGGGAGCCCCCUGCCUCUGUCAUCAAGGCAUCAAAAUCUGCCACCAACACCUACAACGUUAGACAUGCUAAAUGAUUGACAAAUAAAUGUAUUUUGUCAAAAUUCUUGUCUUGUUAAUUUCUGGUUAAGAGAGGUUAGGAGGCCACAGUGCAGAGAGAGCAGCUGGCAUGGAGGUGAGGACAUCAGUCCUAAG
ensembl:lncRNA